UCUGUUUGCAGAGGCCCCAUCAAUGAACAAAUGCAGACAACUCUUCCUGGAGUUUUGCAUUAAAGACAAGAAGCUGGGGGCACAGCGAGGGGGACAUGAGGUCAAGGCGCUGCUGCUUUGUUAGGUCUGAGUUCCUCUGCUGGUCCAGGAGGGUCUCAGUGCGGUGGGACAAACUCGUUCCAUUGGUGGAUGGAGACACACCCAGUGUGGACAGAGGCUGCAAGCAUCAGAGGGCGUGUCCAUGCGGCAGUAUUGGUGUCAUGGCCAUAAGCUUGGCACUUCCUACAGACUCCGGCCUUGCAUUUUCAGCAGCUGGAGCUGUUCACAGCAUCCUUCUCACAGGAGUUUUGGGAGCACAACCAGGUGGGGUAUGCUUGAAAGCCUUAGAGUGAGGACCAGCACACCCACCCUCCUGGUGUCCCAUGCAAAGCUGCUGAAGGGGCUGCUGUGGCUGAAAU
rnacentral:lncRNA from 1 species